rnacentral:lncRNA from 1 species
UUUUUAUAUUGUAUUAUUGACUGUAUGUUUGUUUACUCCAUGUGUAACUCUGUGUUGUUGUAUGUGUCGCACUGCUUUGCUUUAUCUUGGCCAGGUCGCAGUUGUAAAUGAGAACUUGUUCUCAACUAGCCUACCUGGUUAAAUAAAAGGUGAAAAAAAAAAUACAUAACUAAACACCUACAGUAGAUAUCAAACCCCCAUCAAAUAACUAUUAUGCAUAAUUAUUGAAGAACCCCGUUAAUGACAGUAUCGGCUUUUGUUUUACUAAAGUCACAAUGUUCUGUUUAAGCAUUGGAUUUUGCAAUCACAUACAUUAUUUUGGAUAUGUGUGACCAUGAAAACAGUUUUCAUCAGUGGCGACGUGUCAGGGCAGUGUUCAAGUGGGUUUCUUUUGACAAUGAAGCACUGGAAUACAGCCAUAUAGUUUUAACCUAGAAGAAGACCUAUAAACAGGAGUAGGCAAGAAGGAGUCAGCCGAGGAUGGCUAAAGUAAUGUCUAGUUGGUCAGAAAAGUAUAAGUUACUAAACAGACUGGUCCAAGGACCUCCAGAGCCUUCUGACCAACUACCUGUGAUCUCUCCAGCGCACAGAGAAGUGAGUCUGCUGAGCUAUGGAACUCUAGAGCAGCACACCAAAAGAACUGCCACCCUGUUGCCAGCUAUCUGCAGACUUUCAAUGGCCACAUUUUGUGGAUGACCAAACGCAAUAAAGUGUUGUAACUUCUGUGAUAACUUAACCAUCAAGACAAAUACACUUAGAGCUUAUUUUUUAAAAGUUAUGAAAAAAAUGCAAGACUAAUGUCCAGAGUGAAUGCAUUUGUAUUAUUGUACAUCUUACAGGUGUCUCAACUAAAAUAUAUAUCCCAGACAAGAAUAAAGAAUGGGACAAAGUUGGUGCUUGUGUACAUAGCAGUUUGUACAUGUUCACAAAAUGGAUCCAAGACAAAAAGAUUGUUACUGUACACCCAGGUAAGGCCCUUGCUUCUUGAACCACUGAAGACCCCAGUAUUCACUCAGGAAGCUUGAAGAAGAUGUGUGUCACCAUCCAAGCCCAAGUCAUAGCAUCCAGUGGCCUGAUAGGGAGAUGACAAUAAAUGCAUUAUGUACAGCUGAAGUUAACAUACACCUUAGCCAAAUACAUUUAAACUGAAUUCCUGACAUUUAAUCCUAGUAAAAAUUCCCUGUUCUAGGUCAGUUAGGAUCACCACUUUAUUUUAAGAAUGUGAAAUGUCAGAAUAAGAGUAGAGAGAAUGAUUUAUUUCAGCUUUUAUUUAUUUCAUCACAUUCCAAAUGGGUCAGAAGUUCACAUACACUCAAUUAGUAUUUGGUAGCAUUGCCUUUCAAUUGUUUAACUUGGGUCAAACAUUUCG